CUGCCCGGUUUGUAGCCCUGCUUGACCUGUGUGAUCCGAGAAUAAUCUUGUUUAAUCUCCACAAGUCUGAGGACUAAACUGGGUGCCAGAGAGAAUUAAGUAACUUGUCGAGGUUGCAUCAGUAACAAGGGAGCAGGGAAGAGAUUCAAGCUCAGGGAGCCUGGUUGGACUUCAGGCCCCUGUGAGGCUGACUCUGUAGUCCUGGAGAAACUCAACAGCCAGGAACUUAGGACCAUUUGUGUGUGGCAUUUGGGCUAACCAGAUUGGUGGCUUCUAAAGAAGAUAGAAAGCAUCACGUUUCCUGUAUUUAAAUUAUUUGGUGAUCUCAAUACUGGUUGUUAGCCAGAGUACACAAUGGAGACAGCCUAUUUGCUCUACUACUUUUGAUGUAGAAAUAUUACUAAGCUUGAGCUGAUUAAUAGAACUGUUACACAUUUCUGUGCUCCCCUUACUGGUGGCAUGAAACAAUUCUUUUAAAACCUGCCAUGUGUUCACAUUUAAAACUAAAAGUAAUUUAGAUUACAUGGAUUUGAGAAGCCCAUGUUGACACGUAAUUGCCAACAGAUGGGCUUUCAAAUGUAAUGAAGUGAAAAUGGUCAGUAACCCAUGUGUUGGAUUUUGCAAUUUUCCGAAGUAAGCCGUCAUUUUUGGCAUGUCAUGCUAGUUAAGAACACAAUGUAUUUAUAGCUCAAUUAUACAUUUUCUAAUGAA
rnacentral:antisense_RNA from 1 species